CCUACGGGAGGCAGCAGUGGGGAAUAUUGGGCAAUGGGCGCAAGCCUGACCCAGCAACGCCGCGUGAGUGAAGAAGUAUUUCGGUAUGUAAAGCUCUAUCAGCAGGGAAGAUAAUGACGGUACCUGAGUAAGAAGCCCCGGCUAACUACGUGCCAGCGGCCGCGGUAAUACGGAGGAUGCGAGCGUUAUCCGGAUUUAUUGGGUUUAAGGGGUGCGCAGGGGGAGGGGCAGGUCAGCGGUCAAAUUUCGGGGCUCAACCCCGUACUGCCGUUGAAACUGCAUCCCUUGAGUGCGCGGGAAGUAGGCGGAAUGCGUGGUGUAGCGGUGAAAUGCAUAGAUAUCACGCAGAACUCCGAUUGCGAAGGCAGCAUACCGGCGCGCAACUGACGCUCAUGCACGAAAGCGUGGGUAUCGAACAGGAUUAGAUACCCGGGUAGUC
rnacentral:rRNA from 1 species